UGAACCUGCGGAAGGAUCAUUGUCGAAAUCGAACGGAAGAACGACCCGCGAAUCGUCAUUGCAUACUAGACAGAGCCCGUGAGCACCUAACGCUCAUGGGACUCGCGUCGCGUCGGCGUGGGUGUACUCGAGACCAGCGUCNUACCGGCGGACAAACAACGUCAGCACGGAUCGUGCCAAGGAGCUGCAUGGAGAGAAUCGUCGUCCCACGCCUUUGAUAGUCCUCGAUGCGGGACGGGGGGCGGGGGAUGUACGCAAUCUCUACUCAAGUCUAAACGACUCUCGGCAACGGAUAUCUUCGGCUCUUGCAUCGAUGAAGAACGUAGCGAAAUGCGAUACUUGGUGUGAAUUGCAGAAUCCCGCGAACCAUCAAUUCUUUGAACGCAAGUUGCGCCCGAAGCCAUUCGGCCGAGGGCACGCCUGCCUGGGUGUCGUGAAUCCCCUUGCCCCUAGGCACCCGCAUGAGCAUUGGCGGGGAUAUAUGCUCGGGCGCAGAAUAUGGUCUCCCGUGGGAUCGGCAUGUACGGCAUGUCGAGGUGCGGUUGGCCGAAAAUCGAGCAAUGGCUGUGACGGGCACCACGGCGUUCGGUGGAUCGAAUGAGAUUGGCUGCGCCGUGGGCUCGGCAUUAGGCGGGCUCCGGACUUUGAGUAUCCCCGAGUGCGAUCCCAGGUCAGGCGGGGCUACCCGCUGAGUUUAAG
rnacentral:rRNA from 1 species